rnacentral:rRNA from 1 species
CCUACGGGAGGCAGCAGUGGGGAAUUUUGGACAAUGGGCGCAAGCCUGAUCCAGCAAUGCCGCGUGAGUGAAGAAGGCCUUCGGGUUGUAAAGCUCUUUUGUCAGGGAGGAAACGGCUGAGGCUAAUAUCCUCGGCUAAUGACGGUACCUGAAGAAUAAGCACCGGCUAACUACGUGCCAGCAGCCGCGGUAAUACGUAGGGUGCAAGCGUUAAUCGGAAUUACUGGGCGUAAAGCGUGCGCAGGCGGUUUUGUAAGUCUGUCGUGAAAGCCCCGGGCUUAACCUGGGAAUUGCGAUGGAGACUGCAAGGCUUGAAUCUGGCAGAGGGGGGUAGAAUUCCACGUGUAGCAGUGAAAUGCGUAGAGAUGUGGAGGAACACCGAUGGCGAAGGCAGCCCCCUGGGUCAAGAUUGACGCUCAUGCACGAAAGCGUGGGGAGCAAACAGGAUUAGAUACCCUGGUAGUCCACGCCCUAAACGAUGUCUACUAGUUGUCGGGUCUUAAUUGACUUGGUAACGCAGCUAACGCGUGAAGUAGACCGCCUGGGGAAGUACGGUCGCAAAAUUAAAACUUCAAAUGAAUUGACGG